CAAGGGGUAGUUUAAUUAGAAUUUCAGCUUUGGGUGCUGAAGGUGGGGAUAUGAGUGCCUCUUCCUUGA
rnacentral:tRNA from 1 species